UAAUUAUUGACAGUGAGGAUGAGGAUGAAAAACCCUCUCCCCAACUUGCCCCUACACUGUCACAGGCGGUGGCGGAGGAGGAGGACCAGGACUCUAUGUCCAUCACCUCACUGCACCCAUUAAGCCCUACACUGGAACAGGCCACGGAGGAGGAGGAGGAUGAUGAUGAUGCUGCUGCAUUUAGUGGUAAGAAUUAUUACUGACAUUGAUCUGAUGCCAUCAGAUUUUUCUGGCAAAUGCGUAGAAAUCGGAUGAAAAUUGUUUUUGUUUGAACUGGUGAUAUUGCCCAUACAGUAG